AAAGAGGAUUGUGGGAGCUCCGUUGUGCGUUGCUUAAGUGAGGGCGGCGGAUGGGCGAAGGUCCGGUGAGUGCGACUGUCGCUGCUCUCUGAGGCCACAGGAAAGGGGCCGUCGGUCGCCGCCAUGACAGCGAGCGAGGCGGAGGAACCAUGUAAGAAGUCUGACUGCCCUGCUGGAGAAACCAAAUGGAGAGGUCAAGAGACAACAUGGAGAGAGAACGCACAGCCCAGCUGAGCCCAGCUUUCCAGUUAUCCCCACCAAUGCGCCACACAUAUGAAGGAAGUCAUUUUGGUCCCUCCAAAACAACCUAGCCAGCCAGCUGGAUACCACUGAGUGACCUCAGUAGAUGCCACGUGGGACAGGAGAAUCCUCUAGUGAGCUUUGCCCACAUUCCUUACCCACACAGUCAUGAGUAUAAUUAAAUGAUUAUUGUUUUAAGCCCCAAGUUUUGGGGUGGUUUAUUACACAGCAGUAUAUAACUGGAACAUUGGGCACUGAAGUAGUGGAAACCAUACAUGCACGUUAUAUUUCCGUUAAACUUGGAAAGGGAAAGAUCUGAUGGAGUGGGAGGAUCACAUAAGAUCAAGGGAGAAUUUUUAUGAAGAUGACAGAGACUUGGGAGUGUGCAUAUGCUGAUGGGGAAGAGUUAGGAGAAAGAGAAUGUUGAAGAUAGGGGAGAGAGGAGAUGGCUGAUGCAUGAGGUUUAUGAGAAGGUAAGGGAAGGGAUGAGAUGCAAAAUUCUGCUGGACAGACUGAUCUUGCGUACAAGGAUAGUGGGAUGCUUCGCCUUGUAAAACAGGAAGUGUCUGCCCACCUCCUGUUCUUUAAAAAUGUCAAGCAUAUCCAUGUACUAGAGUCGAGAGAAUAUAUGAAGGUUAGUUGGACAGUACUGGAUCUCCUAAGAAUUGUUUGACUGAAGCCCUUUCUCUGGAUUGCUGACUCAGCCCAGGCUGGAGUUAAGUGACUGGAAUCCAUACCCUCGGACCAGAAUCCAAGUUACCGUCUGCUAAAGCCAUACAUGCACAUUAAAACCACACUUCCACAGAGUCAGCUGGUCUGGGCUCAGUGGGCUCUCAAAAUAAUACAGGGUUCCAUUACCUCUGACCCAGAGGUUCUCUCCAAGAGAAAGAGCUGUUGAUGUUACAAUUCUGCCUGUCACUGUCCCUGUUAUAGCAGGGAGUGCAUACUGGAUUAGUACUCCCCAGAAGGAUGUAUGGUCAGUUGGGUUGGUGGUGGAUGGCAGUUUGUACCAAAACGUCACUUGAACUUCACCUUUGACAGCUGCAGACUUCCACGUGCUGAUAAGGAAUUAAAGAAAGUGGAAAUGCAAUGCAGUCCAAGAUAAACCACUUUACAAAACUUUAUCUUAUGGAAAAUCACAAACAUAUACAAAGUUAGACUAGUAAAAUGAAUCCCCAUACACUUAUCAUCCAGCUUCAACAAUUACAAUGUCUGCUCAUCAUUUGAAUGGCACACACACACACACACACACACACACACAUACAUUUGUGUGGAUAUAUAUGUGUUUGUAGUUUUAUAUAUAUAAAUAAAACUACAUAUAUAGUUAUAUAUAUAGUUGAUUCUUUUAUAUAUAAAUGUAGUUAUAUAUAUACAUAUAUAAAAAGUUGAUUAUUAUUAUUCACAGAUUUCAUAUUUGCAAGUUCACUUACUUCAGACUUAUCUAUAACCCCAAAUCAAUACUUGCAGUGCUUUCAAUAGUCAUUCAUAGACCUGCACUGAGUGGCAAAACAAUUUAGUUGUCAGGCACUCAGUGUUCCCAGCUGAGGUUAGAAAAGGCAAUGUUCUUGUUUCUGCUCUCAUACUGUAAGCAAGUGUUCUUUUCGUAGUCGAUCUAGUGCCAUAUUUUUGUGGCUUUUUUGGUGAUUUUGCUGUUUAAAAUGUCCCCCAAUCAUAGUGCUGAAGUACUGUCUAGUGUUUCUAAGAGCCAGAAGGCAGUGAUGUGCCCUAUAGAGGAAAAUACAUGUGUUAGAUAGGCUUCCAUCAGGCAUGAGUUAUAACGCUGUCUGCUGUGAGUUCAAUGUUAAUAAAUCAGCAACACAGUACAUCCAGAAAAAGGAAUAGGAAAGGCUUGCCAGUCUAUAUGUGAAGACGCUCUGUAUGGUGCUAAAAUAACAUCUUUAGUGUGUGAUGAAGGUAUGGAAUAAAUGGAAAAGCAGCAAAAUUUGUGGAUUCAUAACUACUGAUUAGAAAAAGCAUAGUGGACAGCAUGGUUGUGAGGCUUUUGAAAACCAAAGAAAUUUAUGGUUAUGUUAACCCAGGAUCAGGAAAAUGUUAAACCCUUCUUGGCUAAUGUUUUACUAUAAAAUACUGCAUAUAAUUUAUUAUUUUAAGAAAUAUAUAUUAAAGAAGGUGUCUUUAGACAGAAGCAUACAUAAAACAAGGUUGUGUAUUGAUCAUUUUAAGGAAUGCAACCAGAGGCUCCCAGGAACCUAAACCUGUAUUUCCACUAGGAGCAGUGGCUUGGUAUUUGGUAAUUCAUUGCUUGAGGUGACUUUAUAGAAUAUAACUACCACAAAUAAUGAAUCAACUAUACAUACAUGGGGGUGUGUGUGUGUGUGUGUGUACGUGUGUGUGUCUGUGUCUGUUUAUGUGUGUGUGUGUUUUGGAGUACUUUAGUGCAAAUUGCUGACAUCUUAACAUUUUAUCUGAAAAUGUUUCAUUAUGUCUCUCUAACAUAUUGGUUCUUAAAGUGUAGUGUGAGGAGUCCUGGAGACACCUGAGACAGACCCUUUCAGGUGACUGGGAAAUCCUUUUUCCAACUACAUAUCUCCAUGAGGUUGGAUUUGUCUUCAUAUACUUUAUCCAAAACAGCAUGUUACAACAUUAAAUGCAGAAGCAAAUAUGGGAAUCUAGCUGUCUUGUACUGAGGCAGACAUUUAAGAGAUUUUCAGAAACGUAAAACAUUCCUAAAUUCUUUGUUUUGAAAAUGCAAUUAUUUUAAUAAAAUUUUAUUUACGAUAAUCAGUGGAUUUAUUAUUUUAAAUACAUUAAUACAUAUUUUAAAAUUUUUCAGUUUUGAUUUCUAAUAUAAUAAAUAUUGAUAGAUCUGUAACCUACAUUAGCAAAAGCUCUUUAGGAUCUAAAAGUACUAAUAUUUUCACCAUCUGUAUAUAAUUUUUAUUUGUAAAUAUAUUAUUAAAAUAACUGUCACUUUAGAAAACAUAAUAAUGCUUUUUACAAAGAAGCACUGAUAAACUUCUUUUUAGCACUGUUUGUAAAACUUGUCAAAAGGAGGAGGAAUUUUUAAACUACCCCAGCUGUGCACGGAAGACAGCUAACACGGGAAAAACAAGUCUAGCAAAGAAAUUCGCCAAGGCUACUUUCUGCCACCCUGGAAUCCCACACUAGUUUUUUGUUUGUUUGUUUUUUGGUUUUUUUUUGAGACAGAGUCUAGCUCUAUCACCCAGGCUGGAGUGCAGUGGCGUGAUCUCAGCUCACUGCAAUCUCCACCUCACCAGUUCAAGCCAUUCUUGAGCCUCAGCCUCCUGAGUAGCUGGGAUUACAGGCAUGUGCCACCAUGCCAAGCUAAUUUUUGUAUUUUUAGUAGAGACUCGGUUUCACCAUAUUGGCCAGGCUGGUCUCGAACUCCUGACCUCAAGUUAUCUGCCCAUCUUGGCCUCCUAAAGUGCUGGGAUUACAGGCGUGAGCCACCACACCCAGCCCCACGCUAGUUAUUUUUAAAAAUUAUUUUAAAGUAAUUAUAGACUCACAAGGAAGUUGCAAAAGCACAUAGAGUCCCAUGUACCUGAAACCACACUUCCUCUAAUGGUGGCACCUUACGUUAUUAUAGUACAAUAUCAAAUCCAGGAAAUUAUUACAAGAUUGUUAACUAGAAUAUAGACCUAAUUUUCACCAUUUUACAUGCAUUUGUAUGUGUGUGUGUUUUUCUAUGUGGUCUUAUCCCAUGUAGAGAUUUGUUUAACAACCACCACAGUCAUGAUAUAAAACUGUUCAAUAGGACCUCCCUUGUGUUUCCCCUUCAUAAUCAUACCCACCCUGCCCCAUCCUUGCUCCCUGGCAAUGAUUAAUCUGUUCUGUAUCUCUAAAAUUUUCUAAUUUCGAGAAUGUUACAUAAAUAGAGUCCUAUACUAUGUAGUCUUUUGGGAUUGACGUUCUUCACCAAAUGUAAUCCUUUUGAGUCAUAUCUGGGUUGUUGUGUGUAUCAGUAGUUUGUUCCAGCUGAGUAGUAUUCCCUUGGGUGGAUAGACCAGAAUUUCUUUAUCCAAUUACUAGUUGAAGGACAUUUGGGUUGUUUCCUCGUUUUGCAAUUACAGAUAAAGUUGCUGUGAACAUCAGCAUGCAGGUUUUUGUGUGACUAUAAGUUUUCAUUUCUCUGGGAUAAAUGCCCAGGAGUGCACUUGCAGGGUCAUAUGAUAAGUGCAUGUUUAGUCUCAUAGGAAAUUGCCAGAAUGAUUUCCAGAGCCUUACCAUUUUAUAUUCCUAACAUCAUUGUAUGAGAGAUCCAUUUUUUCUACAUCCUUGUGAACAUUUGGUAUUACUGUUUUUUAUUUUAGCCAUUCUUAUAGGUGUACAAUGAUAGCUUAGCUUAUUGUGGUUUUAAUUUGCAUUUCCUUAGUGACUAAUGAUGUUGAACAUGUUUUUCAUGUUCUUUGCCAUCUGCGUAUUCUUUUUGGUGAAAUUCUGUUCAUGUUCAUGCUCAUUUUCUAAUGGAAUCUAUUUUUUACUUUUUUUUUUGGAGACAGGGUCUCACUCUGUCACCCAGAUUGGAGUGCAGUGGCACAAUCAUGUCUCACUGAAGCUUUGAUGUGGACUCAAGUAAUCCUCCUGCCACAGCCUCCUGAGUACCCAGGACCACAGAUGUGCACCACCAUACCUGACUAAUGUUUUAAUUUUUUUUAGAGAUGGGGUCUCACUAUGUUGCCCAGGCUUGUCUCAAACCCCUGGCCUCAAGUGAUGCUCUCACCUCAGCCUCCCAAAGUGCUGGGAAUACAGGUGUGAGCCACUGUGCCAAGCCUUCUAAUGGAAUAUUUAUGUCUUUUUUACUGUUGAAUUUUGAGAGUUUCUUUUCCUUUUCUAUCUCCUCCUAACAAGUGCUUUUGCCCAGACUGGAGUGCAGUGAUGUGAUCGUAGCUCACUGCAGCCUCGAACUCCUGGGCUAAAACGAUCCUCCCACCUCAGCCUCCCAAGUAGCUAAGACUGCAGGCAUGUGCCACCACACCUGGCUAAUUUUUAAUUUUUUUGUGUGGAGACUGGGUCUUGUAAUGUUACCCAGGCUGGUCUCAAACUCCUGGCCUCAAGUGAUCCUCUCGCCUCAACCUCUCAAAGUGCUGGGAUUACAGGCAUGAGCCACCAUGCUGGGCCAGCUUGUGUGUAUCUAUGAAAAAUCCCUCUGGGAUUUUGAUAGUAAUUAUGUUAAAUCUAUAGAUAACUGUGGGGAAAAUUGACAUCUUUAUUAUAUUGAGUUUUGCAAUCACUGAGCACUGCGUGUAUCUCCAUGUUUUCAGAUCUUUGCUAGCUUUCUUUCAUCAAGUUUUACGGAAAGGGAUGGAUGUACUUACGAACUCUCAGUGGCUUCAUCCUGGCAGAGAACAGGAAUGCUGCUUGCUCUGUGAACUCUGCAGCCUCGGUGUCCUCAUUUGUGGUGACAGCUCCCUCUUAAGGUCAUUGUAAAGAUUUAAGGAGAUGCUGAAUGCCCAAGUCCUGCCUCCAGCAUAUGUGCUUUUCUCCUUAACUUCCCACUCAUUACCUUUUGGGCCUUGAGUUUUCAUCUGUGAACCCACAUAGGAUAAUAGUGGGACUGACUUCCAAGGGGUUGUUGUGAGGAAUGGGUAUGAGAAUUCAAGUAAAGCACCAAAGAGACUGCCAGACACAGUAGGGGUACCAUAAGCAGUAGCUGUUAUUACGAUAUGAUUGUAGUGAGGUGAAACUAUAAUUUCUUCCUUUCACUGAGAGAAAACUCUCAAGCAGCUGGUCCAAAGAGCAUAAACAGCACAAGGCAAGUAGCAGGAUGUUGCUGAAGGUUUGGGACAGUGGAGAGGGUUUAUUUUAGCACAGCAGACAAUAUGAAAGAGAGUAUCAGAACCACGUACCUGCUAUGACCCAACUUUUAUAGAAAAAGAACAAGAAUAGAUAUGUUUGUGUUUGUGUAAAAGCAGAAGAACACACCCCAGACCAGACUGUGGGAAGCUGGGGAACUUUCACUUCUACUUAUUCCCCUUUCUGUGUUUGAAAGUUGUUUUUUGGGCCAGGCGUGGUGGCUCACACCUGUAAUCCCAGCACUUUGGGAGGCUGAGGCGGGCAGAUAACUUGAGGUCAGGAGUUUGAGACCAGCCUGGCCAACAUGGCGAAACCCCAUGUUUCUACUAAAAAUACAAAAAUUAUCUGGGCAUGGUGGUGUGUGCCUGUAAUCCCAGCUACUAGGGAGGCUGAGGCAAGAGAAUCGCUUGAAACCAGGAGAUGGGGGUUGCAGUGAGCCAAGAUCACGCCAUUGCACUCCAGCCUGGGCGACAGUGAGACUUUGUCUUAAAAAAAAAAAAAAAAGAAAGAAAAAGAAAAAAGUUAUUUCUUUUUAGUUGAGCGUGUGCUACACUAAACAAUGUUACAAUACAUUUUUAAAUUGAAUGUAUUUUUUUUUUUGAGACAGGGUCUUGCUUUGUCGCCCAGGCUGGAGUGUAGUGGCAUGAUCAUAGCUCACUGCAGCCUCAACUUCCUGGGCUCAAGUGAUCCUCCUGCCUCAGCUCCCCGAGCAGCUAGGACUACAGGCAUGUGCCACUACGCCUGGCUAAUUUUUUCAUUUUUAUUUUUUGUAGAGAUGGGGUCUUGCUGUGUUGCCCAGGUUGGUCUUGAACUCUUGGCCUCAAGCAAUCCUCCUCCAGAGCCUCGCAAAGUGUUGGGAUUACAGGCAUGAGCCACUGUGCCUGGCCAGAAAUUGUUUUGAAAGGCUAACCAGUAAAACAUUAACCAAUUUACAAGAGAAAAACAGCCCCAUCAAAAAGUGGGCAAAAGAUACGAACAGACACUUCUCAAAAGAAGACAUUUAUGCGGCCAAAAAACAUAUGAAAAAAAGCUCAUCAUCACUGGUCAUUAGAGAAAUACAAAUCAAAACCACAAUGAGAUACCAUCUCAUGCCAGUUAGAAUGGCAAUCAUUAAAAAGUCAGGAAACAACAUACGCUGGCGAGGCUGUGGAGAAAUAGGAACGCUUUUACACUGUUGGUGGGAGUGUAAAUUAGUGCAACCACUGUGGAAGACAGUGUGGCGAUUCCUCAAGGAUCUAGAAUCAGAAAUACCAUUUGACCUAGCAAUCCCAUUACUGUGUAUAUACCCAAAGGAUUAUACAUCAUUCUGCUAUAAAGACACAUGCACGUGUAUGUUUAUUGCAGCACUAUUCACAAUAGCAAAGACUUGGAACCGACCCAAAUGCUCAUCAAUGAUAGACUGGAUAAAGAAAAUGUGGCACAUAUACACCAUGGAAUACUAUAAAGUUAUAAAAAAAGAUGAGUUCAUGUCCUUUGCAGGGACAUGGAUGAAGCUGGAAACCAUUGUUAUCAGCAGACUAACACAGGAACAGAAAACCAAACACCACAUAUUCUCACUUAUAAGUGGGAAUUGAACAAUGAGAACACAUGGACACAGGGAGGGGAACAUCACACAACGGGGCCUGUUGGGGGGUAGGGGACUAGAGGAGGAAUAGCAUUAGCAGAAAUACCUAAUGUAGAUGACAGGUCGAUGGAUGCAGCAAACCACCAUGGCACGUGUAUACCUAUGUAACCUGCACGUUCUGCACAUGUAUCCCAGAACUUAAAGUAUAAUUUUAAAAAAAGGGAAAAAAAGUAAAAAAAAAAAUCAACAAAUCAGCAAACUACACAGAAGAACAUUAGAACAAUUUCUCUCAAAUUUCUCUUCCAUUGAGCUUCCUGCCUGACCCUAGAGCUCCCUCACCUCUUUGGCUUACCAGCUCCCAUCCUUCAAAGUUUCUGAGUUAUUCUGUGGGGAAUUUGAGCUACUGUCUUCCUUUAGGUCCAGGCCAUCUCAGCUAGGUCCAGAGAGCCUCACUCACCUCCCCAACUAAGCAAGCAUCCCUGGAGGUAUGUUCUUCAUGCAAGGGCAGUUCCUGAGAGAAUUUAUUUGGUUAGCUCAUAAAGGGAUUAUAUUGUUUUCCCCUGCACAUGAGAGAGAGUAGCUGAAGUCUACUGACUUUAAUGAAAUUCUCUGUGAAGAGUCUGGGAGGGACGGUUUAGGUAAUCCAUCUACAAGGGUGCUCAGAGAGUUUGGAGCGAAGCGAUUGGUGUCGUUAUGAUGGCAUUCUAUGGCACAGUAGUUACAGUGCACCAGCCACUCUUUUAAAGACUUCUCAAGUGUUCAUUCAUUUAAUUCUUACCACAACCCUGUGAGGGACUUCCUGUUAUUGUCUCCGUUUUACUGGUGAGGAAGCUGAAGCAGAGAAGUUAACUACUUUGCCCAAGUUCCUUUCCUCCUUUGAGGAUAAGGAGCCAAAGGUCCAGGAAUGCCCAAAUCACAUCCCUCUUCUUGUCCAACCACCCAACCCCUCCACAGGCAACCUGAUCAGCCACCUUUAUACAAAGUACAGUAUUCAGAUUGGAAUAAAAAUAUAUCUCCUUGACUCCCUGCUCUGAGAGGUAUUUCUUCUCAGACUCCCAAAAGCUGGAUUGAGGAACAUGGCUUAGUUGGUACAGUAUAGCCAAAUGUCCUGCUUGUUGAAACUGAAUUUGUAAUUAUCUUCUUUUUCCUCAAGAAGUCAUUGAGGGCUGUUGUAUCCCUAUAAAAGGAGAAUUUAGAGUAGCCAAAUAAAAGGGGGCUGAAGUAGUCUCAUUACAGAAAAAGAGAGUGUGAGCAGCCUUUUAGUAGUUGAUUGCCUCAAGAUGUGGUAUUCAGCCAGGGUGAAGGGAAAGUAGUUGGGGCUGUGGAUCUGGAGGUUUACAGAAGCCUUUACCCAUCCUGAGACUCAGUUCUGCUGUUGGUCUUCAGAGAAGUGUCUGCACCUGCUGAGAAGAAAUCACACCACUGCACUCUAGCCUGGGCAACAGAGUGAGACUCUGUCUCAAAAAAAAAAACAAAAAAAAAACAAAAAAAAAGAAA